rnacentral:rRNA from 1 species
UCCCGUACUUCUAGUUACUGCGAUGGAGGGACGGAGAAGGCUAGGCCAGCACGGCGUUGGUUGUCCGUGUUUAAGGUUGUAGGCUGAGUGCUUAGGUAAAUCCGGGCGCUUAAGGCCGAGAGCUGAUGACGAGUGUUCUUUAGAACGCGAAGUGGUUGAUGCCAUGCUUCCAGGAAAAGCUUCUAAGCUUCAGGUAACUAGAAAUCGUACCCCAAACCGACACAGGUGGGCAGGUUGAAUAUACCAAGGCGCUUGAGAGAAUGGUGUUGAAGGAACUCGGCAAAUUGCCCCCGUAACUUCGGGAGAAGGGGGCCCUCCAUGAAGGCAACUUCAUGGGGGGGGCACAGACUAGGGGGUGGCGACUGUUUACUAAAAACACAGGGCUCUGCGAAGUCGCAAGACGACGUAUAGGGUCUGACGCCUGCCCGGUGCCGGAAGG